GUUGGUGAACCAGCGGAGGGAUCAUUACCGAGUUUACAACUCCCAAACCCAAUGUGAACGUUACCAAACUGUUGCCUCGGCGGGAUCUCUGCCCCGGGUGCGUCGCAGCCCCGGCCCUACUCGGGCGCCCGCCGGAGGUAUCUAACUCUUGAACUUUUAUGGCCUCUCUGAGUCUUUGUACUUAAUAAGUCAAAACUUUCAACAACGGAUCUCUUGGUUCUG
rnacentral:misc_RNA from 1 species